rnacentral:siRNA from 1 species
UGAUCAAGAGAUCUACGCUCCAC